ensembl:lncRNA
AAAUGUGUAAGUGAAUACAGGGUGGUAAAAAGAAAACUCACACUCUUCCAGUUCUAAGGUUUUAUAUAUCAGGGCAUUAUACCCUUACUGCAUAGGAAAUAAGAGGAUAAAUACCAGCCAGCUGUUGUUAACCAAAUGCAUUUGUUUAAAUAUUCAUUAGCAAGUGUGACAACCUUUGUAAACUGACAUUUUCAGGUCUGGAGCAUCCAGGUGUGUGUUAACACACUGCCAAGGAGGAAGGACAUCAGCAAUGAUCUUAAAGAAGGAAUUGCUGCUUUGCAUCAGUCUUGGAGAAGUUAUAAGAUCUUUUCCACAUAAUUUGAAGGCCAUCAUUCUACUCUGAGAAAGACAAUUCACAAGUGGAACACAUUCAAGACAGUUACAAAUAUUCCCAAGAUGAGAAACUUCAAGAAAAUGUGGACUGAAUGCAUCAUGGAUGGGAUAUUGAGUCGGAGCUAGAUCCAGACUGGAUGGCCUUCAGGACUGAGAAGAAGAGCUGCAGUGUGGAUGAAUUAGAUACAGAGGUCCAGAUUGCUGCUUCAGCAUGUUGAUGUCAUCUGUUACUGGCUGCUCGAGAAUCUCAAUUCACUGUGUGCUCAGCAGAGGAAAUGUUCAGGAGAGUCGUUGCAUGUAAGUCACAACAGGAAAGAAAAUGUUCUCUGUGAUUUGUUUCCCCAAAUAUACAAUACAUUUUAGUUUUAGUUGUAUUAUUUUUUAUUAAAUAUUGUUUUUUUAAUAGGAGACAGGUAAGUAUAUAGUAUAUAUUAAGUACUACAUUUAUGUACACAUUUACAGCAUUCAGUAUUGUGUAAACAUUGUGAACCACUCUUUCUUUAUAUUUUGUUGGGAAAAAAUUGAUUUAUCCUCAACUGAUGGUGUUCUAUUGGGUAUUUAUCUAUGCAGGCAUGCUUUUACUAUAUUGGGAGUAAAAUCAUUGUCGUGCUGAAAAUUGAAGCGGUUGCAAAUUGGACACUUUCUGCAGUGGACAAAAAUCUGAAGGCACCUUUCUACUUUCUUCAUUUGGGGUUCACUAAUGUUUCACUAAUGUUUUACAGAUGCUGUAAACACUCAAGGAUCACUCAAGAUGCUCUCCUGCCCCUACAGUCUCUAAUGAAUAUUGCAGUUUGUCUGCUAGCAAAUGCUACAAGAAGCCCAAGAAUCAAGAAUCAGAAAUCACUGACAAGAAAAAUAUGUGUGCACUCAGUCCACUAGUGUCCAGUCAGAGAAAAGUAUAUAAGGUCAAUGUUUAUAUAGAACCGAGCUACAGGCCAUAAUCAGAUUCCUGCUCCUCCUUAAUGAGCUGUUUAAGACUGCCGUUUGUUAGAAUUGUACAAAUUCUAUUUUUUGCCUUAUGCACAGUAUUUCCAUGUAUGUUUACAUGUUUUUCAAUAAAUCACUGCAUCCAUUUCUCAUAUAAACAAAUGAGUGGUGACUUAAGAUGUUUUCAAAGUACAGUAUGAAACGAAUAAAACAGAUGAAGGUUAAAUCAAGUCAAACUAGUUGUCCCAGUGGCGAAAAACCACAGCCCUGUUUCAGUUGUGGCCACACUGCCCCCAGAACUGUCAAAACAUUUGGAAAGGAAGGCACAGGUGUUAUAAGAUUGAUAAAAAGCUACCCUCUUUUUUCCUGUAUCAUAAUCUUUGUUUGACUUAAAAUUAAUUAUUUUAACAACAGUCAAUUUUAAUAUCUUUGAAAAACGCUUACAAGUGACUUUGAAAGUAAAUCUUAAGAGAGCAAUGACAAGACUCCAAUUUUCUCUGUGGGCCAGCGAGGUGAUGUGGGAGGGAUUUAUAGAGCAGGUGAGAUUAGCUGUGAGGGGGGAACCGUUAGAGAGACAGGAGCUUAAGCGGAUGACUCAGUGGCAAAUGAUGUGUGUGAGAGUGGUUACUGGGAGUGGAAGAGAAAGAGACUGGCUAUCAGUAGUGGAUUUCCUUUGUUCAUGGGUGUGUGAAACCAACUACAUGUGUUGGCACUCCUGUGAGUGUUGUUCUUAAACUCUACUUCUCCGUCGUCUUCUUCUCUAUUGUGUUAUCCCUUCAUAUGAAAUAUUCACU